rnacentral:lncRNA from 1 species
UAAGAUUUGGAUAUUGGUUCUUGAGAUAUGGGUGUUGGUUCAUGAUAUUUGGGUAUUGAUUCAUGAUAUCUGGGUAUUGAUUCAUUGAGGUUUGGUGUAUAGGAUGUAUAAGAUUUGGUUCAUGGGAUGUGGUGUAUGAGAUUUGAUUCAUAGGAUGUGGUGUAUGGUUUAUGAGGUUUGGUAUAUGGUUCAUGGAAUUUUAUACAUGGGUUUGGUAUAUGGUUCAUGGGAUUUGGUCCAUGAGGUUUGGUAUAUUGUUCACGGGAUUUAGUCCAUGAGGUUUGAUAUAUGAUUCACGGGAUUUGGUCCAUGAGGUUUAUGGUAUAGUUCAUAUGGUUCAUGAGAUUUGGAUAUAGUUUAGUGCAUGGCUCAUAGGAUUUGGUAUAUGGUCCAUGAGGUUUGGUAUAUGGUUCAUAAGAUUUGGUCCAUGGGCUUGGGUUAUGGUUUAUGGUUCAUGAGGUUUGGUGUAUGGGAUUUGGUUCAUGAACUUGGAUAUGGUUCAUGGAUGAGGUUU